UACAGAGACUGCAAGCGUUAUUCGGAUUCACUGGGCGUAAAGGGUGCGUAGGUGGCUUGAAAAGUUUGAUGUGAAAGCUCAGGGCUUAACCCUGAAAUGGCAUUGAAUACUGUCGAGCUGGAGGUUUGGAGGGGGGACUGGAAUUCUUGGUGUAGCAGUGAAAUGCGUAGAUAUCAAGAGGAACACCAGUGGCGAAGGCGAGUCCCUGGACAACACCUGACACUGAGGCACGAAAGCUAGGGGAGCAAACAGG
rnacentral:rRNA from 1 species